CAGCAGCCACGGUAAUGCGAAGGGGGCUAGCGUUGUUCGGAUUUACUGGGCGUAAAGGGCGCGUAGGCGGACUGAUAAGUCAGGGGUGAAAUCCCAAGGCUCAACCUUGGAACUGCCUUUGAUACUGUUUGUCUUGAGUUCGAGAGAGGUAAGUGGAACUGCGAGUGUAGAGGUGAAAUUCGUAGAUAUUCGCAAGAACACCAGUGGCGAAGGCGGCUUACUGGCUCGAGACUGACGCUGAGGCGCGAAAGCGUGGGGAGCAAACAGGAUUAGAUACCCGAGUAGUCCCUGUCUCUUAUAA
rnacentral:rRNA from 1 species